AAUAAUUUUAUUUGUGGUAUUUGUAUAUCGCCUUUCUCAACCCCGAAGGGGACUCAGGGCAGUUCACAGUCUCACCAUCAUCUCCCUAAGGGACUCAAGUGGUGUACAAGACACUCCAGGGUGCACAUAUAACAUACAACAUGUAAAAUGGUACAAAAAUAUAAAAGAAGUCACAUAAAAUUAUAACAACACUCCCCACCAAUAUAUGUAGCAUAAAAUCCAAGUAAUAUCAUUUUAAAACAACAGUAGAUAACAGUAGGUUAACUAUAAAUCCCAGCAACUACUACUCCCAAAUGACAAAAUCGAUCCCCACCCCAACCUCACCAUUAUUCAAAUGUGAGCGGAUCGGGUGUUUGUGCCAAAUUUGUUCCAAUGAAUGAAAAUACAUCCUGCAUAUCAGAUAUUUACAUUAUUAUUCAUAACAGUAGCAAAAUUACAGUAAUGAAGUAGCAGUGAAAAUAUCUUUAUGGAUGGGGGUCACCACAAUAUGAGAAACUGUAUUAAGAGGUUGCAGCUUUGAAUCUGAUGCUUAUCCUUUCCUCUACAAAAGACCUCUUUAACAUAUGAGGAUAACUCUCACUAGAAGCAAUUUGCCUUCAUGCUUUAUAGUGGAGCAUCUUCUAAAGAAGGCAAUUCAGAUGACAUCUGUUUGACAAUGGAGUCUCCAAAGAACCAAGUGACCUGCAUGAUGCGUUAUGAGUAGAGAAAUUUUCAGUUCCAGCUUUUGACCCAUGUGUGUACCAAAGGAAAAUACAUACAAAUCAAUGCACGGAUGUUAGGGAUACCAGUUUAACUGCUUUGAAUGUUUCACUACACAUAUUUCUACACAUAGUUAGUUAGCUGUCAUUAGGGAAAGAGUAUUUCAGUGUACAUAAUUUUCCCUGUGAAGCAUCUUAAAACUAUUGAAUGAAAGCACCGAGAGUGCAAAAAGAAGAGGGGUACAUUAUUUGCAUUUGAGACAGAUUGUCCGUCAUGACACAUUUGCAUUGAUACAGAUUUCCAAGAACAUUUUCUACUUUGGAAGUGCUUCCAGAUGAAGAAUUCCUAGCACUGCUACUCAAACGGCAUCGUGUAGUGAGAUUCCAUCUUUCCCUCAUUAAUUGAUUCUUUUUUUUUCUGGUGAGAAAAAAAGAUGGAAGAAGCAGGACAACGAGAGUUAGAAACUAAGGAAGACAUCUGGGAACCCCUGAACAAAAUUGUGCCAUAAAAGCUUUAUUUAGAAGCAUCCUUGGUUUAAUAAGCAGUGUGGGAAGACUUCACAUUCUACAUCAUUUUACCAUUCACGCCUAAGUAAAGCAAAAGCCAUAUUCUCAACCAGCCUCCACUGGUUCUCAUUUUUAAAGCUAUUCCUGCAUGUGCUGCUCUAAACAUCAUCAUCAUAUGCAAAGCCAACCUUAAGAAAUGGGGUCAUAAAGUGGAGUCCACGACAUGCGAGUGUGGAGAAGAACAAACCACAGACCACAUAUUACAAUGCAGCCUGAGCCCUGCCACAUGCACAAUGGAGGACCUUCUUAUAGCAACACCAGAGGCACUCCAAGUGGCCAGCUACUGGUCAAAGGACAUUUAAUAUAAUGCCAAGUUGUUAAACUUCAUGUUUUUUCAGAUAUAUCACAACUGUACCCUUGGUUUGCUCCUGAUAUGAUAAAUAAAUAAAUGAUCAUACUGGUAA